UAGAAGAAUCUGUUAAGCUCAGGAGGGAUAGCGCCAUGGAUGAUCUUUUUGAUAGUAAUUACUUGAUCGAUCCUCAUUAGCGCUAUCCAUCCUGAGUUUCAUCGGUUCUUCUU
rnacentral:pre_miRNA from 1 species